UCCGAAUUGGUGUAACGGUUAACAUUUGACGUUUUCAUUCCUCUGAAAAAAAUCCGUCAGGCUCGGGGUUCGAUUCCCCGAUUCGGAG